GGAGGUAUGGCUCAAGAAUAAGAGUGCCGUCUAGAAAUACAAGGUCCUGAGUUAAAAUCUCAGUGCCACCA
rnacentral:tRNA from 1 species